rnacentral:tRNA from 1 species
AAGGAUUUAAGUUAAUUUAAACUAAUAACCUUCAAAGUUGUAAAUAGAUUUGUCUAAGCCUUG